AAUCCAUAGGUUAAUGAGGCGAACCGGGGGAACUGAAACAUCUAAGUACCCCGAGGAAAAGAAAUCAACCGAGAUUCCCCCAGUAGCGGCGAGCGAACGGGGAGGAGCCCAGAGCCUGAAUCAGCAUGUGUGUUAGUGGAAGCGUCUGGAAAGGCGCGCGAUACAGGGUGACAGCCCCGUACACAAAAGCGCAUGUGCUGUGAGCUCGAUGAGUAGGGCGGGACACGUGGUAUCCUGUCUGAAUAUGGGGGGACCAUCCUCCAAGGCUAAAUACUCCUGACUGACCGAUAGUGAACCAGUACCGUGAGGGAAAGGCGAAAAGAACCCCGGCGAGGGGAGUGAAAAAGAACCUGAAACCGUGUACGUACAAGCAGUGGGAGCACAGGUUUACCUGUGUGACUGCGUACCUUUUGUAUAAUGGGUCAGCGACUUAUAUUCUGUAGCAAGGUUAACCGAAUAGGGGAGCCGGAGGGAAACCGAGUCUUAAUUGGGCGUUA
rnacentral:rRNA from 1 species